AUAUGAGUGAGGAAGAGAAUUUCAGAAAAGCAGAGCCAAGGUGGCUGAGGAAGAUCUGAGUAAAGAACAGAAGCAGAAAGCUUCUGACAGAGCAACAGGGAAAGAGAGGAAAGAGGCGAGAAUGAUCUAGGCGCUCGAGCUACUUCCCGCUAAGGGUGGCUAGGCAUGUCUUCAGGGACCUAGCCAGUCUCACUUUACACACAGCAAACAAAGAAUCUGAACCAACUAAAGGACAUCUAUGGGCUGGACCUAGGCCCCCUCGCUCAUAUGAAGCAGAUGUGCAGUUUGAUCUUCAAGUGUGACCUGAACAACCACCGGAACGGGGUUAUCCCAAAAGCCGUUGUCUGGCUCAGCACUCAGAGACCCUCCUGAUGCUGAUGCUACGUGAUGCUGCGUGAAGCUGCCUCUGACUCCAGACCCUCCUGAUGCUGCCUGAUGCUGCGCUUAGCUGCCUCUGACUCCAGACCCUCCUGAUGCUGUGUGAUGCUGCGCGCAGCUGCCUCUGACUCCAGCUCCAGUAGAUUUGUCCCCUUUACUUGAUCGCUCCAUGUACCUACACUCACUUCUACAUACCUAUACACAGAUAUGCAUAAUUUUAAAAUAAGAUUUUUUUUUUAAAGAACAAGGAAGGCUGAAUAGAAGAGUUCAUGUUGCUCUCAGUUCGUUUCUUUAGUUUUCUCUUAUGUUGAUGGGAAGUCAAGACCAUGGCAAAUAUAUUUCCAAGAACUCAUAGUACUAUCAGAUUUAUAGAGAGUGCAUACCUGGUAUAUGUGGUGGAAUUAAAGGGAUAAUACUAGUAAUCUUAAUGAAUUUCCAUUGGUCAUAAAUUAUGAUAAUCUGAGAAAGCAUUUAGUACACAGAACACUUCAGGAAAGCUAGAUCCAGCCCUUAACUUGCUAGAUAAACUAGGGUAGCUUU